UACGUAGGUGGCAAGCGUUAUCCGGAAUUAUUGGGCGUAAAGAGGGAGCAGGCGGCAGCAAAGGUCUGUGGUGAAAGACUGAAGCUUAACUUCAGUAAGCCAUAGGAACCGGGCAGCUAGAGUGCAGGAGAGGAUCGUGGAAUUCCAUGUGUAGCGGUGAAAUGCGUAGAUAUAUGGAGGAACACCAGUGGCGAAGGCGACGAUCUGGCCUGCAACUGACGCUCAGUCCCGAAAGCGUGGGGAGCAAAUAGG
rnacentral:rRNA from 1 species